GGGUAAGGGCCUAAUCGAAAGCCCAGUGAAGUCAAUGAGAUUUUUUCCACUGACUUCAAUGAGCUUUGGAUUAGGCCCUGAACCC
rnacentral:pre_miRNA from 1 species